GCGGAAAUAGCUCAGUUGGUAGAGCAUAACCUUGCCAAGGUUAGGGUCCUUUGAUUUAAUGAUUGCCCA
rnacentral:tRNA from 1 species